rnacentral:rRNA from 1 species
GAUCUUGGUCAGGACGAACGCUGGCGGCGUGCUUCAUACAUGCAAGUCGAACGAUAAGGCACCUUCGGGUGUACAUAAGUGGCGGACGGGUGAGUAAUAUGUAGAGAAUCUGCCCUAGAGCGGGGGACAACAGUUGGAAACGACUGCUAAUACCCCAUAUGAGCGUAGUUGAAAUACUAUUCUUGAAAACUCCGGUGCUCUGGGAUGAGUCUGCAUCUGAUUAGCUAGUUGGGGGUGUAAUGGACCACCAAGGCGACGAUCAGUAGCUGGUUUGAGAGGAUGACCAGCCACAAUGGGACUGAGACACGGCCCAUACUCCUACGGGAGGCAGCAGUAGGGAAUUUUGCGCAAUGGGGGCAACCCUGACGCCAGCAACGCCGCGUGACCGAUGAAGCCCUUCGGGGUGUAAAGGUCUGUCAGUGGGGACGAAACUUGACGGUACCCACAGAGGAAGCAUCGGCUAACUCCGUGCCAGCCGCUGC